UACGUAGGGGGCAAGCGUUGUCCGGAUUUAUUGGGCGUAAAGAGCGUGUAGGCGGCCAGAUAGGUCCGUUGUGAAAACUGGAGGCUUAACCUCCAGCGGUCGAUGGAAACCAUUUGGCUAGAGUCCGGAAGAGGAGACUGGAAUUUACGGUGUAGCGGUGAAAUGCGUAGAUAUCGUAAGGAAGACCAGUGGCGAAGGCGGGUCUCUGGACAGUUCCUGACGCUGAGGCACGAAGGUCAGGGGAGCAAACGGG
rnacentral:rRNA from 1 species